UACAGAGGGGGCAAGCGUUAUUCGGAAUUAUUGGGCGUAAAGAGCGUGUAGGCGGCCAAACAGGUCCGUUGUGAAAACUGGAGGCUCAACCUCCAGACGUCGACGGAAACCGUGUGGCUAGAGUCCGGAAGAGGAGAGUGGAAUUCCUGGUGUAGCGGUGAAAUGCGCAGAUAUCAGGAAGAACACCAAUGGCGAAGGCAGCUCUCUGGGACGGUACUGACGCUGAGACGCGAAAGCGUGGGGAGCGAACAGG
rnacentral:rRNA from 1 species